rnacentral:lncRNA from 1 species
UGGUCAUGAAAUCCAAAUCGAAUGAAAGAAGAUACUAGAGCGACAGAGGGGAUGGAGGGGAGGAGAUUUGUGGAGGAUUUCAAGCCAUCGAGAAGACAAGAGGGUGUGAGCAGCGGUUGCGGCGUGAAGACGAAGAGAUAAAAACAGGGAGGUAGAUAGGGUUUCACCGCCCCCUAUUUAUUUUUUGGCUAAUGACACUGAAUACCCCUGGGGUGC